rnacentral:rRNA from 1 species
CAGUAGCCGCGGUAAUACGUAGGGUGCGAGCGUUAAUCGGAAUUACUGGGCGUAAAGCGUGAGCAGGCGGUUUGUUAAGACAGAUGUGAAAUCCCCGGGCUCAACCUGGGGACUGCAUUUGUGACUGGCAAGCUAGAGUAUGGCAGAGGGGGGUGGAAUUCCGCGUGUAGCAGUGAAGUGCGUAUAUAUGCGGAGGAACACCGAUGGCGAAGGCAGCCCCCUGGGCCAAUACUGACGCUCAUGCACGAAAGCGUGGGGAGCAAACAGGAUUAGAUACCCGAGUAGUCCCUGUCUCUUAUAC